rnacentral:lncRNA from 1 species
GCCGGUCCGUUUCUCCCCUUUCUUUUUCUUUUAGCCUUUUCUUUUUCUGCUUUUCUCAUUUCUUUAAUAUCUUUUGAUUUUGAACUCCAAAUUGGUCCAAAUAAAAUCCAGAAAAUAUGUAAAAUCAUGUUCCACCAUGAUACAACUUUUGGGAGUAGUUUCCCUUCAAAAUAAAAUACAUAAAAAAUACAUUUUCCCUAUAAAUGCCUU